UUCUGUUUAUAUCAGUUACAGAAUUAUUUCAAUAAUGCUCCAGUCAAUAACACUUCCUGGCUCGGUCCAAAGCACGUCUCUUAGGGCCCUAUAUUUCAUCCUGCCAAAAGUCUAUUUUCACAAUUGCCAAUGUCUCACUUAAAUAGCAACGGUGCUUCUGAAUACAUCUACGCUGAUGGGUGUGGUCGUCUGAAAAUGAGGUGUGUUCAAGUAUUUUUCUGGUGUAUUGCUAUCUUGGCAACGGAAAAAACAGGUGCGCCACUGUCUGAAUACAACCUAGACCUUUACAACAACGAUGAAGCGUUGAACAUGUCCAGGUGGCUGCACCCCUGAAAUAGCAAUCCGUAUUGCUAUCUUGCUAAUGGAAAACACACUUGUGUCACUGACUGAAUACAACCAUGACAGAUGUCAGAAGGCAAAUGUUCAUUGCUAUCUUGGCAAUGCAAAUGCAUCACACUUGCGCAAUGCGCGUACACUGCCGCUCGUUACACACAGGGACACCUUAACGACCUGUUCACAAACUGUGAACGAGUUUCCUCUGCUGAGAAGAGUUGGGCACGUUCAAGUGCAACUUUAAAAUAGAAAUACGCCAAAGUCAGAGUGCACCUGUCUCUUAAAGGAAAUGGCAAGUGACACACUGAUUGGUUUGUUUUACUUUAUGCCUAAAAUUAACCACAACCAUGGAUAAUUAAAAUAAUAAAUACAUGCCUUUUGUGCGUUUCAAGCCCUGCAAAUGAGAAGGGUCUGAUCUGGGAAGGCAGGUGUUCUCAAGUGUACUUCCGGAAUUUCCUGACCGGAUCUUGCAGAAACAUUGUCCUGACAGUGAAGUUUUACUUUUUUAAGAUACUACCACCACCAUGUUUGAAAGUUUGUAAUAAAUGUAAUGAUCCUAGUUAAAGAGUGCAGUUUUUGCUUUUUGGCACGUUUUUUUUUUUUUUUUUUUGUCAGGCUCCUUGCAUCCAGAAACUCCUAGUGAACUUCCAUAAAGGAAAGCGCUCACUGGAUAAAAGUACACUGUAUUAUAUAAAUGUAAUUAAAGUUAUUUUUUUACAAGGCUUUUUAUUGUGAUAGUGAAGUCAGUGUAACUGCACCUGUAACUGUAAGUGUAAUUUUAAGUAAACUGUUUUGCAUAAAUGCUAA